AUUCAAGUAUUUACUUUUGUGAACCGCAACCUUAUAUUUAAAUAUGUUCGUUUUCAAAUAAGUUUUACAUUCGUUUGGUUAUCUAGCAGUUUUCAUGUUAGUGUCAGCGUGGAAUCGUCUAAACAAAUUUUAAUUAACAUUUUCUAUAAUUUGGUGGAUAUUGACUUUCUAUAUAUUUUAGGAAAGAAAACAAAGAUUAAAAAUGUCCUAUUACCAGAAUGGCUACAGUGGCAAUUCCUACUAUAGCGACCAAUGUUUGGGAGCCGAAUUCCUAAUUUAUGUCUUCGGAAGUGUAAUAGUAUUUCUUCUCGUGGUAGUAUUGAUCUGUAUAUGUUAUAUUUGUUGUCGUAAAGACAGCCGUCGUGAUGGAAUGGCUAUUUAUCCGAUGGUACAUCCGAUGGCACAACCGAUGCUACAACCACAACAUGGAAGUGUCAUGUACGCACCAGGCCCGAACUGUCAACAUGUUCAGUGCCCACAACAACAUCACCCGCCUGCCCCUGUUUAUACCAAUGAUCAUCGUAUGAUAACCACGCAACCAUCAAAUCAAGACCGAGUUGGCGAGACUCAGCACAUUUAAAUAAGCACAACCGAAUAAUAGACGAGUCAGAAAGCAUAAAUGCUUUUUAGGACAAUAAAUCAAAUAAUCAAACAUGACAACCUUUCGGAACUUUCAAAAGUGUGAAUAUUUUGAUGAUAUAGACAGAAAAUAAUAUACAUAACUUUGAUGCUUUUUAUUUAAAAACCAUUUUCUAGCUUUUUUAUUUUGAACAGGUUUUCAAAAGAAGAUUAUUAUAUCUAAUCGUAUACAAAUCUAAUUGGAGAAAUGUUUAAAAUCAUCUUUUGUACCCUACUCUGUAAUUCAAAACAUACAUUGUAUAUCCUAAAUUCAACCUAGCAAUAAACUCUAAAUCGAAUAUGCUUGUACAUAAAAAUACUUUUUACUUGAUUUCUGAAUACCAUUUUUAAUCAGAACAUUUUUAGAUUUCACCAUAAGAUUGUUCAGGUUUAUACAGACCUAGUAAUAAAUAGUAGUUACCAUUAAGUUACACCUUUUAAACGAUCAAGGCUACAAGUAUGAUGUAAAAAGAAGUGCGAAUCUUCACAAUUACAUGACGAACACUUACCUAACUACACUGAAAAGUAAAAAACACUUUUUAUAGAAAUAUUUUUCAUUAUUCGAUAUUGAUUAUAUUUAUAUUUUACAUUUCUAUGUUAUUAUUUCUGUUAAAUAUCUUUGUCAGUGCGUGAAUAAUGAGGGCACAAUUUCUUAGAUUGCUUUUUUUAAAGUUAUUGUUUUAUUAAAUGUAUUUUCUAUUAAACUUGUAUUUAUGUAUAUUUGUUACAUUAAAAUAAGAUAAGCAACGUUUCAUGUUUGACAGUCGUCAAAGAUAUCACUUUUUGUUAAGAGCUGUGACAUUUGAUAAAAGUUUUUUAUUCUAUAUUUUGUUCUGAGGCAUGAGAAAAUUAACAACAACUAAAUAUUAUUUUAAAUGAAAGCAGCAAAUGAUUUUGCUAUUUGUAACUAUGAGUGCUUUAUUGUAGAAACACAAAUUAGAAUGGAAAAAUGCAGUCUUUAAAACAAAUCUUCCUUGAGCUUCCUAGGUGAUUGCUUGAUAUAUUCAAUAUUGUCUAAAAUACCUGUGCAAAGCUUGAUCAAAUUAUAGCUCUGGAAUCAAAACAGGCCCAACCCGUUAUUUUCUUUCCUGUUGUUGUUGUAAACACAAUCUUUUCCUGCGAACUCACAAAAGGCAAACGCUUAAAUACGUGACAAGUUACUUUGUCUAGUGGACAAUGCUAAGAUUCCAAUAUGUAAGCAUUGGGGUCAAAAUUUUCCCAAUCUUUGUAGGGAGGAUAUAAAUAUUUUUUCUUAGAUGAAUUCCUUAGGAAUUGUCUUCCUUACCUUUAAUUACUGCAGUUUAAAAGUUUGGCAUUAAACAUUGUCUAGUAUACAGCUACACUUUUUUUCAAAUUAAAGCCUAUGUCUAAAUGAUUGCCCCGCCGCUGGCGGUCACGCGCUAUCUUGAAUCAGGGUGAAGGCCCGCCAAUUAACGCAUUUCGAAUGUUAUAUAAGGAAAGAUUGACAAUCUACUUAUCUGAUUCAGCAAAUGGUAGAGCUUAGAAGAUCAGCAUCAAAUAUCGGUUAAAUAUAGAUUUCUACUAAAUUCGUCCGAAUAAUAGUCAUGGCUAAAAGCUGGUACUGCCAAGGGUUAAUAACCCGUUAUGUGUUAUAUUAUGUAUAUACUAAACCUUUUCCCACUUUACCUUCAUAGGCUACUGCUUAGUCAAUUGACAUGAAGAAUUGUCUAAUGAACUUACCUUGAAACCAAUGAUCUUCCAAAAGUAACCAGUCAGCGAUUUUCAUUGCAAUAAUGAGUUUCCCACAACGACCAGUGUUUUUAACAUGACUUGAGCACUUUUUUACAUUUGAAAUUCAGAUUUGAACUUUGAGAUCAGUAGACCUAAGGUCAGACAUAAGAAUCGUUUUUAUUAUAUUAAUUUUUUUGUCAUUUGGAAAAUUUUUGACAUGUAAAGCUUUCAAAAUCAGGUGUCUGAGCAAUAUCAUAGUUAACAUGAGCAAUAUCAUAGUCAUCAUGACCUUCGUGUUAUAAUGCAAAUGAAUCGCAAUUUUUAACUCAACUGUAAAAUCAAGGAAAUCGUAUAUUAACGAUACUUGGAUUGAAUACAGAGGACAACAAAUUGUAAAUUAGAUGCACAAGAACCCUAUUUUUUGCAAAUAAAAUAGGAAGUUAUAUCUAUAAUCUCACAGAAUCUUCAUCAUUGUUGUAAUUUGCAGAAAACAAUGUAGAUAGAAAAAGCGGUACCAGUAAAAAAGGUUUCGUGUCAUUUAAUUUAUUAACUUGCACAUUCCAUUACAGUAACUGUUGAUGAACAGUCUCAACCAAACCGAGCCUGCAACAUUUUCAAAUUGUUGGUUCUUUAUUUAUCAGUAUUUUAUCGAUACAUGAAUGACAACCCAAUUAUAAAGGGUAGUCAGGUGCAAACAUUUUACUCAGACUAUAAAAAUACAUUGUGUUAACAGUUGUAAAUUAUUCUUUGAUUUACAGGCACUGGUUUAUCUUGUGUUUUAUAUAUGAAAUAUAUACAUAGUUUAAAAUGCCUCUUUACACUAUCAGUUGAAAUCAAACUUUUGUCGUACAAUUUCAAGUAGUAAUAGAUGUUUCUAUAAUUGUUUGAUAUUGAAUGUUUUUAUU